GCAACUUAAUGGGAUUUUAUUAGACAAAAUUAGCCACCACUGAACAGUCAUAAAAAUAUCUAAAUUAUUAGUAGCUCGGCAAUUUAUCGUGAGAGCUUCCUGGACAUGCUAAUAUCUAUUGGAUCUGCAUCGUGCCUGCUAAUCACAAAAACAAACUGUGGGACAAGUAUAAUCUAUCUGCUGUGUGUUGUUAUGCUAUUGCAGGCACGGUAUGACGGCUUUAUACAAAUAUAUACGUGUGCGUGCGUGUGACUUGGUUUGAGGGGUACGUUUUGGCUAACGCCUUAUGAGCUAUGUAAAUAGGAUACGUCUGAGCAGAAAUGAUGAACUGGUCGCUGGAGAAACGAUCUCACCUGCAAUAUGGGGGAGAAGAGGGAGCUGAAACAUACAGCUUUUGUUGAGUCAGAAUGAAAUGCAAAGCCCCUAUGGUCAUGGCAAUCAGGUGCACUCAGAGUCCAAAAGAAAAGCCUUUCUGUGUAAGAUGAUGUUCUCUAGAGACAAAAAGGAUUCUAAAAAACACUCAGAUGUAUGUAUUUUUAACAGAAUCAUGCUUUCCUUCAUCCUCGCACAGGUUUAAUGCUCUUUUUAACGAGCACAGACUACAGUAUCUACUUUAGGUGGGGCCCAGUCUUUGUCUCUGUCUCUAAAUGUGAUCAGCUGGGGAUGGAUGCUAUGGAGGCGAUGUGGUGAAGAACCAACAUUUUUAAUUUAUAGUGAGAGGUCAGGCAGGCUGACCCAAGGUGGGAUCUAACAGAAUGUUUGCUGUGAAGAUAGGAAAAAUCCCAAUGAUAAGAAUAAUUGUAUGUCUCUUUCCAAGCUCCUUGCUCAGUGUUUGAAGAAAGAAGUAGUUCCUGUGAGCCUUUUCUAUUGAACACCUACCAAAGUGGGACUUCUGUGCUGGGUCCAGCAGAAACUUAUCUAACCAGUAGUUCUGGGUACUGUGGCACUGGGAGUGGCAUGGCCCCAAGGAUUCUCCUCCUUACCUUUUUAUGAAGCAGUGUGAAAUUGUCCCAAACAUUACAAGGAGCAGCUUGAUCUCUUGAUACGUGGCUGUGUGUUCACUGCAGGUAGGACCAAAGGACAACGGGGGGAACACAGUAGUGCACUCUUUAGGGGUCAGGUUCCUAGUGUUUAUUUAUAAGAGCUGCAUGUUGUCAUGUUAUAUAUGUGCGUAACUCUAUAUAAAAGGUCAGGUUUGUUUUAGGUUGGCAGAAGAAUUGUAGAGGCUAAUUUAACAUAAGCUAAGAUUAGAAAAAAGAAAAAAAAAUAAAACAGAUAAAAGUAAUCUUAAAUGGUUGGUAUAGCUCAACCUGCCACCCAUUUUGGAAUAGGAUUUUGAACAACUUCUACAUUUCAUCUGUUUUAAUAUGUUCAGAGCACGGUGGUGAAAAUGAGUUGCUUUGCACCGGUAGAUCUACUGAAUAUGCAAUGAACAAUCCCGCAGCAGCCAGGAGCACCAGCCAAGACGGAAGAUGAGACGGUGAGCUGGGAAACAAAGGUGAAGGAGAGAGGCAAUGAAAGCAAAGCGCUCCGUACGAUAGCUAAAAUACAAAUCUCCGGAGACUUCGAGAUAUUGCAUGAACAUCAAUUUCGCAUGCCUAUUGUCUGAGUGGUAUUAGUGUGUGUAGGACUCCCCGCCCCCGUCUCUCCGGGCGAGGGGAGCAUCAUGGCAAAUCAAGAGAUGGCAUAAUUGAAUCAGCUCCAUCACAUGAUGAGGUUACAGACCGGACUGGACGAGGCACUGAAAUGACCACGUAUCACGAGCACCUGGGCAUCCCCCCACCCCGAAAUUACUUCUGCGAGAAAAGGAUGCGAGUUUUAAGCUGCAGCGGGAGACAACCUGGUCGUGGGUUUCAUUAGUGGUCCCUUUUGCCAUCUGUGAGACUUCAUGGCUAAGAAGCCAGACGAAAGAGCUUUCUAGAAAAUUCUUCAGAGAAAAUACAACUCAAAAAUGCGAGUCAUGCUUAGGCUGUUUAUGGAGAGUUUAUUUUGUGCUUAGGAGUAAAACAAAAUGCCAGUCGUUCACAGCUGUUUGCACUGUGAGAUAACACACAAGUCAGAGCACACAGCCGCAGGUUGGAGGGGUACCGCUCCCAUCCCUCGCUCCCACAUAAAAGUUGACAAUUAGUUUUUACUGCACAUACAUGAAGGGAGAUACAUGCUUUGGCCUCUGUGUGAAAGCAAUAAUUCUCUUAAAUUGAUGUGUCAGCGAACUAAAACUCAAUAUUUUUUUCGCACAGUGUAUUUUGCAGUCAGAGGACCUUCACUAAUCGGAAUAAAGCAAUUUGGCUCCCUGUCAUUGCUCACUGAAAACAUAUGAGCUGGUUGGCACGUAUGGCCUCCCAGAUUUAUCAGUGUCUCCCAUCUAGUGCAUGGGAGGUUCAGGGCUGCAGCUCAGAGAGGAGUGAAUUUUUAUGAAUGCUUUUUUCCCCUCCCUGAGAAUUCCCAGAGCUAGAUUUAUUCCUCAGUUUCAGAAAUGUUUUAUUUAUUGUCCGUAUCCCAUAUCCUCUUUAGGUCAAAUCGAAGUCAUAUUUUACAUUUUUGAUUUGUAUUGCUAUGUCUUUAUUGCUUUGCUCAUUUAAGAAGAAAAAAAAA